GAUGAACGCUGGCGGCGUGCCUAAUACAUGCCAGUCGAGCGAACGGACGAGAAGCUUGCUUCUCUGAUGUUAGCGGCGGACGGGUGAGUAACACGUGGAUAACCUACCUAUAAGACUGGGAUAACUUCGGGAAACCGGAGCUAAUACCGGAUAAUAUUUUGAACCGCAUGGUUCAAAAGUGAAACACGGUCUUGCUGUCACUUAUAGAUGGAUCCGCGCUGCAUUAGCUAGUUGGUAAGGUAACGGCUUACCAAGGCAACGAUGCAUAGCCGACCUGAGAGGGUGAUCGGCCACACUGGAACUGAGACACGGUCCAGACUCCUACGGGAGGCAGCAGUAGGGAAUCUUCCGCAAUGGGCGAAAGCCUGACGGAGCAACGCCGCGUGAGUGAUGAAGGUCUUCGGAUCGUAAAACUCUGUUAUUAGGGAAGAACAUAUGUGUAAGUAACUGUGCACAUCUUGACGGUACCUAAUCAGAAAGCCACGGCUAACUACGUG
rnacentral:rRNA from 1 species